UUUAUACUCCCUCCGUUCGGAAUUACUUGUCACAAAAAAGGAUGUAUCUACAACUAAAAUACAUCUAGAUACAUUCAUUUCUAAUUCCGAACGGAGGGAGUACAUG
rfam:Triticum aestivum genome assembly, contig: Triticum_aestivum_CS42_TGACv1_scaffold_405475_5BL